AUCGGAGCCAAUUUUGAAAUUGCUGGAAAUAAAAAACUUUAUCGAAAUGUGGAUUUUGCGAGGAAAAUGAAUUUUAAUGGAUCGAUAAAAUGGAGGAAUAAGGAUUUGAUUUUGUAUCGUAGAAAAGAAGCUUCUUAACAAUUUGCAAGGAGGUUCAGCGCAAAACGACUCUCUUAAUACGCAAUGGGUCCCUUGGGGACACUUGAACCCGGCACAAGAAGGUGGUCCCUCGUGGUACUCUUUCAGAGACACGCAUCUUACUAUCUGUUGCUCACAUUCUAAUUGAUAUUAAAUUCAGUACUUAUUCAGUUUUCUGAAAACUUGAAAACUUGAUCAGUUUCGUCUUGGUUUUCUUAUUCGAGAUAUUUUCAACUUAUGAAAUAUGAAAAUGUGUACGAACUCACUCUCGUCCCAAUGACAACGGCGAACUUUCAUCAUGCAUGUGUAUCCAUUGGUGCAGUAUACCGCGUCACAGCUAGAAGGACCCUUCAAAGAUUCUCAAAAGACACGAAUGCGCAUAAAAAUAAGGAAUAGAAACUUACAUAUAAUGAGAAAUCUUUCUACAAUAAUUUAAUAAUUUAUCUACAAUAUGGGGAGAAUUUCCAUUAAUCUCAACUCAUUUAUUCGACGUAAAAUUAUAUUUUUUCUAUAUUUUGUCGUACUUUCUUAGAUUAAAAAAAAUAUUCUAUUUAAAAAAAAGAGAAAUGAUUCUCAUUCUCAAAGGCGUAGAACAAUUUCCAUUGUCUCUAAAAAAAAAAAAAGAAAAACUUGAAGUAAAAUUUCCUUGAAAGGAUUAUCCCUUAGAGCAUCUCGUAAUACAGGUUCCAGAGGGAUGCAUAUCAUCCAGGAAUUUCAUUUCUCCUUUGCAUCGAAUAAUCCAAAAUCUACCGCAUCCCUGUACAAAGGGAUCAAACAUCUCGACGCGAGACAAUGGAUUUACAACUUAAACAACUGUUUCAAAUCCAUUUACAAAAUUGCAUCCACCGUUAAUCGUUCUUUGUGCGCCUCGCUCCGCGCCCAUAAUUAAAUUUCAUCGAUUAAGAUUAAGUCGUCGUCGAGACGCUUACCUGUACGAGAUUUCGAGCAGUAGAGCAUGGUGGGACAAGGUGGAUUUUUGCAUCGAAAUUUUCUGUGUACGCAAUGCUCGUCCUCCUCGCAGUGCAGGUACGGGCAUCCUCGAUGAACAGGUGCUUGGAUCAAUUCUAUGUAUAUAGAUUAUUAUAGAUCGUCAUAAUUCGUUAAUUUUGUUAAUCUUUGGGAGAAUAUUUUGGAAAAUUGAAUCUUCUGUUGUCACAUUUUUUUAAAAUUUCGUCGAUUUUUAAAAGGACAAAUUUUGAGAAAUUAAUUUACGUAUGUAAGUAUAAAAUGGAUUGAAAAUUUAUUAAUCUAUUGCUUUACGUUUCCGGUAUAAUGUUUUAUCAAAAGUAGAAUAUUUAGCAAAACAAUAAGAAGAUAUAAAAGAAACAGUGGAAAUUUUAAAAAUUUAAAAAAAAUCGGAGAACCGAAUGAACUCACCUUUCCCGAAAAAAGCCUGAAGAUGAACAACCAUGAUCAAUAGCAAGAGAGAAAAUAGUGUGAAGUAUGUGAAUUCGAUAUACUUUGGUUCCAUAAUGAUUGGAACAUGAUACCGUACGUCGUUCGAUGGCGACUGCACCUGAAUCAAAGCAAUCGAAGCAAUUGAUAUGGAUAAAUUGUGUUUCGAUUUAACCUGAGUAACUGGAAACUGAAGAGAACAAUCGGUCAAAAGCUUACUCACUCGAUGCACUAUAAUAGCUAUUCAUCAUCUAUCUAUGAAGAUUAUAUAACGAGU